rnacentral:rRNA from 1 species
GACGAACGCUGGCGGCGUGCUUAACACAUGCAAGUCGAACGGAAAGGCCCUGCUUUUGUGGGGUGCUCGAGUGGCGAACGGGUGAGUAACACGUGAGUAACCUGCCCUUGACUUUGGGAUAACUUCAGGAAACUGGGGCUAAUACCGGAUAGGAGCUCCUGCUGCAUGGUGGGGGCUGGAAAGUUUCGGCGGUUGGGGAUGGACUCGCGGCUUAUCAGCUUGUUGGUGGGGUAGUGGCUUACCAAGGCUUUGACGGGUAGCCGGCCUGAGAGGGUGACCGGCCACAUUGGGACUGAGGUAGGGCCCAGACUCCUACGGGAGGCAGCAGUGGGGAAUAUUGCACAGUGGGCGGAAGCCUGAUGCAGCAACGCCGCGUGCGGGAUGACGGCCUUCGGGUUGUAAACCGCUUUCGCCUGUGACGAAGCGUGAGUGACGGUAAUGGGUAAAGAAGCACCGGCUAACUACGUG